GGGGAAGUACUCAAGUGGCUGAAGAAGGCGCCCCUGCUAAGGGUGUAGGUCGUGUGGGCGGCGCGGGGUUCAAAUCCACUCCUCCUUCUCCC
rnacentral:tRNA from 1 species